ensembl:lncRNA
GCGCCCCGGCCCGCCUUCCCCGCUGCCCCCUGGGAGCCGCCCCCUCCCGCCCGCUCGGCUUUAGGGUGAUUAGGCGCCAAGUUGCCGGGAUUGCAAACGAGAAACACGCCGGAUCGGGUUUUCAGAUCCCAGCAACUAGAGGCACCUGUGGGUGCAGACCCGCCGCCUGUUGAGAGGAGUGGACACUGGCUUUGGAAGCGCGUCCAAGGUCAUGAGCGGCCGGCGGGGAGCUCAGCUUAAGCUGCUUCCCAGCGUGGGGUGGGCGGGCCUCCUAAGGGAAGCAUCUGCUAGGGGGAUGGUCUCCCAGGGGGUGGGUCUCCUAGGGGGAGGGUCUCCCAGACGGAGGGUUCACUAGGAGAAGGAUCUCCCAGGGGGAGGGUCCGCUAGGGGGAGGGUUCACUAGGAGAAGGAUCUCCCAGGGGGAGGGUCCGCUAGGGGGAGGGUCCCUGCGUGAAGAUGGUCUCCUAAAGCAAGGGUCCCCCAGGGGAGGGUCCUCUAGAGGGAGGGUCUCCUGCUGAUUCUGAGCCAAAGCGAGGUGGGCGCGGUCGGCGGAGCUCCGCCGCAUGUGGGUUAUGUAAGAGUCUAGAGAGGAAAAUGAGCCGUGCCUACCGGAUGUUGACCACCCCAGCAGGCCAGCCCUGUGCCAGAGCAUCACACUCACCCUGCCACACACCGUGUGAGAGGUGUGCCCCUAGUGCAGCGGGGGAAACAAGAUAAAAGAGUGUGUCCUGAAGCAAACCACCCUCGCUCUGCCUGCCAGCCGAGUCCAGUCCACACUUAACCUCUUCCUUUCGUCCAGGAACACAUGCCCAUCCAUGACCUUCCUUGCAAAUGGCAGCGCGUGCCCAUCUUGCUGUCCGGUGGCUCAGUCGUGUCUGACUCUCUGCACCCCCUUGGAAGGCAGCACGCCAGGCUUCCCUGUUCUUCAGUGGCUCGGGCAACUUCUUGACGUCAGGACGCUCAAAAAAGUGCCCCGAGCCUCUUUUGCUGUGAUUGAUUUUGCAGUUCAGAGGAACCUUUAUGGAAACUUGCUUGGAAAUUGGAAAGCCAAGCCAGUAUGCUGGAAGUUGCAGCAGAAGCAUUGACAUCACUGCUACUCCGAAAGGUCUGGAGACACCUCUGGGAAAUUUUUUAUUCCAGAAUCAUCCUGAGUAAGUGAGGCUCUAAUGGCGUCUCAUUUUACAGUUGAAGGAACCAAGCCAGGGAAGUUUAAUAGAUGCAAAGUAGCCGUGAUAAAGCCAGAGCAGGAGCCCAGUUCUCUUGAGCCCAAUUCUAAGACUUUUUCCACACCAGACAGUGUUACCUCUUACAUGACCCAUUAGGUUACUGUCUUAGGGGAUAUGUUUAGACUCUAGGUAUUCUUGAAAACAGAUUACAGAGAAACCCAUCUAUAAUGCUGGGGCAAGGAGGUGGCCAGCACAGAACUGGAAUGUUUCUGCCCCAAAGGGCCAAUUAAUUUCUCAGUGUAAUUUUAUCCAGCCCAAUAAGAAGGUCUCAAGAAGUGGACAUUUUAUACAUAUUUUAAAAGCUUUAGCCAUACACGUAUUCUAAAGGACCAAGGUGUGGAGGCAUGUUACUCCAUGAAACCAGAGUUAUUUUUCUUUAAAAAAAAAAAAAAAAAGAGCUACGGCUAGUUCCUAUUUCCCAGAACAAGAAGUUAGGGUUUUCCCUGCUUACUUAGAGAAAGGAUUUUCAGAACAAAUGAUAAUUGAAGUGGAGUUAGUACUGUUCGCUGAGACUGCUGGUAUUUUCAACUUGUCAUAAACUGAAGCUCUUCCAGAUGUAGUCCAUGGGCCAUCAGUCUCAUCUGGGAGCUGGUAAGAAAUAGAGAAUCUCAGUCCCUUCCUGGACCUGCUGAAUCAGAAUCCAUAGUUUAACAAGAUCUCCAAGGGAUUCACAUAUGAAUUAAAGCUGGAGAAUCACACUGUCUCAAAAACGUAAUAGACAUGAUGAAUACAGCUCUCUCUUCUCACUCUUCCUCCCUACAGACCUCCUUUCCUUCAUUCUGUGCUUUUCCCCCCUCUUCUUUUGCCCAUAUUGGGUCAGGAAAUAAAAGGAAAGAUUUUUAUUCAUGAUAGAGUUAUAAUUUUGCCUUUUUUAAAGGAACAUAUGCAUCUUCCUAGAACAUAAUAGACUCAACUGUGUAGACUCAAUACACUUACGGGACCCGUGGGGAGGGGGGAGAGAAACAAGCAACAAACUCCAUAUAAAUGGUAUUUAUGUCAGUACAGAAAAUAGAUGAACAAUUCCUAACAGGAAGAUGAGCAAAGCCCAUGAAC